AAGGCUCUCCGUGUGGAUCGCUUUGCAACAGAUCGCUUCUUCAAAUGCUGGCACAACGCCCAGAGCUCGAUGAGAGAACAGCCCAUCUUCACCACCCGAGCGCAUGUCUUCCAGAUUGACCCCAACACCAAGAAGAACUGGAUGCCUGCGAGCAAGCAGGCGGUCACCGUUUCCUACUUCUAUGAUGUCACAAGGAACAGCUAUCGGAUCAUCAGUGUGGACGGAGCCAAG
rnacentral:sRNA from 1 species